rnacentral:rRNA from 1 species
UACGGGGGGAGCAAGCGUUGUUCGGAUUUACUGGGCGUAAAGGGCGCGUAGGCGGUCAGCACAAGUCAGUUGUGAAAUCUCCGGGCUUAACUCGGAAAGGUCAACUGAUACUGUGCGACUAGAGUGCGGAAGGGGCAACUGGAAUUCCUGGUGUAGCGGUGAAAUGCGUAGAUAUCAAGAGGAACACCUGCGGCGAAGGCGGGUUGCUGGGCCGACACUGACGCUGAGGCGCGAAAGCCAGGGGAGCGAACGGG